rnacentral:rRNA from 1 species
UACGUAGGGUCCGAGCGUUGUCCGGAAUUACUGGGCGUAAAGAGCUCGUAGGUGGUUUGUCGCGUUGUUCGUGAAAACUCACAGCUCAACUGUGGGCGUGCGGGCGAUACGGGCAGACUGGAGUACUGCAGGGGAGACUGGAAUUCCUGGUGUAGCGGUGAAAUGCGUAGAGAUCAGGAGGAACACCGGUGGCGAAGGCGGCACUCUGGGUCGGCCCUGACGCUGAGGCGCGAAAGCGUGGGGAGCGAACGGG